rnacentral:rRNA from 1 species
UACGAAGGGGGCUAGCGUUGCUCGGAAUCACUGGGCGUAAAGCGCACGUAGGCGGAUUGCUAAGUCAGGGGUGAAAUCCUGGAGCUCAACUCCAGAACUGCCUUUGAUACUGGCGACCUUGAGUCCGGGAGAGGUGAGUGGAACUGCGAGUGUAGAGGUGAAAUUCGUAGAUAUUCGCAAGAACACCAGUGGCGAAGGCGGCUCACUGGCCCGGUACUGACGCUGAGGUGCGAAAGCGUGGGGGGCGAACAGG